GCCGCGGGCGCUUUUUAUAGCUAAUCGGAUUGAACGACUCUUGAGAGUCACAUGAAGUGCAGCUAAAGGUCGGCCAGCAACAGCUGGAAGAUUUAUUACCAAGCCCUCUCGUAUAUGCUUAAUUAAUUAAUCAAGUAGCCAAAAAGUGAUUCAAUCGAACCACAACGCACUUACAGCUUCAAUUACGCGCCUCCGGCUAAUUGCUGAACAGUCAGCGAGCUGGCUAGGAAAAGGCGAGGCGACUCGAAGCGAAGCGAAGAGAAUCGAAUUGUGUCGACUGGUUGAGACACUCCCACAAUUGCAAGAUAACCAAAAGCCAGAGGCGUCGCUUGUGCGUUUGCUUAACGAACUCCCUUCGCCUCUGUCAUUCUGUCUAAGCCACUGGCGAUGUUAGCAAUCGCUUGGCUGUGAUUUCAUGGCACAGCAAUUCACACUGCCAUUCAGUUUGACUUUGCCACUCGCUCCGUUUUGUGCUGAAGCAUUUUGAGGCAGGCAGCCGCCCACGUUUAACAGAAACUAAACACAGACUGACAAUGCGGCAUUUAGUAUUGCUAAUUGGAUUGCUUGCUUUCACGCUGACGUUGGCUAUGCCGUCUUUGGAGCCCGCCAAGCUGGCCAUUGAUGCGGCACCUUCGGUGGUCUCCUAUCAGGGUUCAUCGCAGACACACACACGCUUCGUUAUAGCGCCGAUGGGACGUGCUCUAGGUUAUGUGGAGCCAACAAAUUUGAAUCGUACGUUUCACACAACGCCAACUGAGAUCGAUCAACUGCUUCAGGUUCGACCUGUCUAUGUGCCCCACUAGCCAUAUUUAUUUUUUCGGUGAAUAGUGCUUUGUAAAUGUAAUUUUACUCUAGUUAGGCUGUGUUCCACAAGCAAGGGAAAUUUUUGUACAAUUGUCAUACGAAAUAAACUCUUAUCUAAAUUACAUUUCUAUCGCUUAUAAUAUGUUUGCCUCAAACUCUUAUAAUACGCGUUUGCCCGCUUCUUCCACUAUGCUCAAAUCUCUGAUUAUGGCGGAGAAUGCAGCUGAGGAAUCUGCUUUGGAGUUCUAUGAGAAUUGCAAUCUUUUGUGGCGUGCUGAAUUCACAGAUCCAACAAUCGCCUCUCCCGGUAUUGGCACACAAUUUCAGCCGCUCAAGAAGAGCAGGAAAGAGAAGUCUUCGGCAUAUGGCGACACCGACUCGGAGAAUAAUCAAAAUGGCUGGACUUGUUUGAACAAUCGCUGUCGCCUUUGAAUUGGCAACUGAACCGACAGAGGGAAAUAACAGAGCUUUUUAUAUGGCAUAUAAUGACAACUUGUUGCUCUCUCUCUCUUUCUCUUGCUGCUGGCUGCUUCAAUUGUUUUUAGCAUUUUUAGUUUUGUAUGAAAUAAAUAUGCAUUUUCAUCUUGUUUUCACAA